rnacentral:misc_RNA from 1 species
AUGUUUUUUUCUAUAACUUUUAUUACUUUACUAUACCUAUUUUCAUCGAAAGUUACGGCUCAAGCUAAUCAAUUUAGAAUUGUGGGAGGUUUCGAUACCGACAUUUCGGAUGCUCCAUAUAUGGCCUCAUUGCGUGAGUUACGCAAGGAGAUUCGUGCACUGGGCAGUGGACAUUUUUGUGGUGGGACUAUUAUUAAAGAUCGUGUAAUUCUUACGGCAGCUCAUUGUUUAACUAAGUGGGUACGCCUCAGCGAAAAUGUUGCCUGUUCAUUCAGUUAAUUUUUGCUGCAGACGGAGCCCCGCCAAGGCAUUGGUUGUAGUGGGAUUCAAGUAUCUUUCCCUCAAUUGGCCGACGAUGAAGAAACUGAAAAUCUCAAAUUGGAAUUAUCAUAAAAAAUAUAGAAAGGAAAGAAAAGCAAUAUUCGAUAUUGGAUUGAUAUUCACAAUUGAAAAUAUAGAACCCGUUAAUGGGGCAAUCGCAUUUCUGCCCCUUAACACGGUGGAAAUAAGCCCUGGUACUAAAUGUCUAUUGUCUGGAUGGGGUCGAGUUGAGCACAAUGCACCCCAUAGAGCAAGUUGCCUGCAGUCAUUGUGGCAACGGAUUCUAGACAAAAGAGUAUGUUUUAAGAUCGCUAAUAGAUAUGACCUAUUGUGCACCAACUCAGGGCUUCCGACUGGGGCUAGUCGAGGUGAUUCAGGUGGUCCGCUGCGCUGCAACGAUAAACUUGCGGGUGUUAUCGCUGCCGGAGACCUACAUGGUCUCGCUUUAUAUACAGAUGUCCGGCCAUUUGCCGAUUGGAUAGAAGAACAGAUUAGGAAUGGAAUAAUGCCACUUGGCUCGUUUUGCAUUGGGAAGCACGUUGUUUUGGCCAUCAGCAUUUGUGUGGCCACCAUAUGCAAGUCGGGAUUUUAGACUCAGACUAAACCGAGUUACUUACAAUGACUUAUAAAUCAGUAGGCUUAUGAGUUUCGUUCAAUUAACAACUAAUAUUUCGAGAUUUAUAAAAUUCCAAAUUUCCUUGUCUGAAUUUUAGAAAACAAAUAUUAUGUCUCUAAUGCUAAUAUUGAUGAUUCAUAUCGUUUUAUUUUAUCCAUUGACAUCGGCGAAUGCUGCUUCAGACAAUGUUACUUUCAAAAUUAUAAACGGGUUUUCUUGCAACAUCAAGGAGACUCCCUAUCAGGUCUCACUGCGCUAUGCCUAUAGAGAGAGAAAACGAUGGGGCAGCGGCCAUUAUUGCGGUGGAACUAUUGUUAGCAAUCGUGCGAUUAUCACUGCAGCUCAUUGCCUAAGGGGGAGGUACACGCGAAUGAAUCUUUUGGCGGUUAUCUUAUAUUUUUUUCUGCAGGCGCCAUAAGAAAGAAGUAGUAGUUGUAGUAGGAAACACUUUUCUAGACGACAGAUCUGCAACAACGAAGGAGCUGGAAAUCUUAUCUUGGCGUGUUCACCAAAAAUAUACUAAGCCAUUGAACGAUAUUGCAUUGAUCUUUACUGUCGAGCAUAUACAACCCAUUAGUGGGGCUAUUGAGAUUUUGCCCCUAAACACGAGGGAAGUCGACGUGGGUACCAGAUGUCUAGUAUCCGGCUGGGGUCAAGCCAAUCACUUUGUGCCAGAUCGCACGAAUGAUCUGAGGGCGCAAUGGAUACAGAUUGUCAGCCCUAAAAUCUGUAGGAAGCUCUAUCGUAUACCUAAAGUAAUUUGCGCCGGCGAUGAGUCCACUACUGGGCCCAGCUUUGGUGAUUCGGGGGGCCCGUUGAGGUGCGAAGAUAAAUUGUCGGGUAUCGUCUCUGUGGGAAGGCUUGAGGGUGGUCCGACCGCAUACACAAGUAUUCGGGAUUUAUACCCUUGGAUACGACGUGAGCUCAGUAGCUUCAAUGGAGCUCCGCCAAUGCGACCGUCUUGCAUCCAGAGACAGGUUGUUUUGGCCAUCACCAUUUAUAUGGUAACAAAAUGAUUCAUUCUGCUCUACGUAUUAAAACAUGUGGAAAUGAAGAAGUCCAGGUAUGUAGAAGCUGCUGGUAUGUGAUAUAUGUGUAACUAGCUCUAAUCAAGAGAUCAGUCAAUAAGGAUCAGAGUGGACUUUUUAUAUAGUUUUUGAAGAAUUGAUACCAACUAAUGUGUAUUUAUAUUGAGGACUAUAACUUUUAUUAAAAUCAACUAUUAACUUGAAUGCAAUUCUCAAGGAAUAUUGAAAAUGACUCCAUAAAAGCUCCACCCAUCGGCAAACCCAUUGGUCAAAUUUGUUUACAUUCCGCUUGGAAACUGGGUCAUUGUGAGCGCGAGCGAGCGAGAUGGCAACAGCAAUGUUGUUAAGCGAUUGUUCGCCGCUGGGACGCAGCUUGAAAUCGCCAACACGAUGGCAACGUGGGACAUGCCCUACCAGCGGCGAUAACAACAAACUGAUCAAAAAAAAAUCAGCAUAACGUUCAAGCCGCUGUAAAUGCUCUAUCUCGUGGAACGAUAAUUGGCCAGAAAUCGCAACUAACUUCAAAUUAUUGUUCAUAUUUUUAUGGAAUGACCUAAGAAAUGGAAAGAAAUAAUUGUAAAUAAUUUUUAAUAUUAGUUUAGCG